rnacentral:rRNA from 1 species
UACGUAGGGUGCAAUCGUUGUUCGGAAUCACUGGGCAUAAAGAGCGCGUAGGCGGUCUGAUAAGUCCUGCGUGAAAGCCCCCGGCUCAACCGGGGAAUUGCACAGGAUACUGUCGGGCUAGAGUACAGGAGGGUAGAGCGGAAUUCCUGGUGGAGCGGUGAAAUGCGUAGAUAUCAGGAGGAACGCCAGUGGCGAAGGCGGGCUACUGGGCCGAUACUGACGCUGAUGCGCGAAAGCCAGGGGAGCGAACGGG